rnacentral:lncRNA from 1 species
GAAAGACUUAUAAAAGAUGCAAUUAUGUCGUCAGGUGGUGGUUGGAGUGCCAUACUACACGAUAAUACUCUUUGAAUAACGAUAUGACUUUGCUUGGAGAAAGAAGAGGACUCAUUUGAGGAAUCAGGUAAACUGAAGAGAAAAGAUAUGAGAAGGACAGAAAACUGCAGGGAGCUGAUACACAGUGUGGCUGUUUUCUGUCAAUGAGCUCCAUUUAGCCAGAGACAAACCUUGCAACCACCAGUUAUCUGAUAGGUUUCCUGUGGACAGCCUCCUAUGUGAUAGUCAUGCACACUGCAAGCAGCAUCCUUUUCCCAUAGCAAAUGGUAGUCUUGGGAAACAUGAGUAUGGUUGCUAUUAUAGGAAGAAUCAAGAGAAAUGUUCCCUAUGAAUUAAAAAAGAGAAUACCCGAA